UCGCUGGCCCAGUCUUGCUUCCUGCAAACACUGACAGCUGCAGCCAUCCACCACGGGACUUUGGGGUAUCCCAGAAUGUCCACACCUGUCAAGACACAGGAAAUCUUUGAGGCUGACAGCACACCCCACCCCCCCACCCCCCUGCCGACGGAGACCCGUGCUGGUGCUGCGUGCCAGAGGAGGGCAUCAGCGAGCCAUUUGAUUCGGUUUCCUGAGGUUCAGAAAAGAUCAGGCUUUUGAUUUUGUGCAAACGGUGGCUCGCAGGGUCGUAGAGCGUUGGAACUAGAAAAGAACAUUCAUCUGGUUCGAGCCCACAUUUUCAGCUGCUGAAGCCAUGUCCAACCGGCUGUCCCCAGUGCUGCUGUCACUCACACGUGCUCAUGAGCCACUGCACACAGGUGGAAGACCAGGGGCCUCGGAACCCAAGGUGCCCUCCCAGCACUGAGGACGUGUCCCGGAAAACUUUCUUAACUGGGUUGGUGAUUCCUUGGUGUCUCCUCCUGAGACUAAAUUGGCAUUAAGAACAAUUAAGGUGGCCAGAUGGAACCUGAACAGAAGACUGAUUUGAUGUCAGGGUCUUUAACUGGACAACGUACAGCCCAUGGGGACUUUGCGAACCCCUUGUUCAUUGGCCAAAGACAGACCCCAGGCUCAGUGACCUACGGAAGACCGCAGAUGUCAGGGAAGCCCUGGGUAAUUCCCCCUAGCUUCCACCCAGUGUGUUUGCUGUCCCAGCUGCACAGAGGGGAGCGUCCCUGGGGGUGGUGGCAAUGGGGACCUGGCUCCUUUUUCUUGGGGUCCAGCAAAGCCACUUCCUUUUCUUCUGAUCUGCUCUGCGCCACGGAGAUGGCCCGAUCCCAGGUGGGAGAAGCUCCGGCCGUCCCCUGAGCCACCGUGCCCGGUCAUAUAAGAACCCACAUGACAGACUUUUCUGUUUGACAAGAUUUUCAUGUCAUUUCUUCACAGGGGCCCAUGGCCAGUGUUGCUCUUUUGCUGUCUUGACAGUUCUGUGUACGGAGUUUUUAUUGUAAGGUUAUAAUAUGAUGUUAAACAGAAGUACCAUAUUGUUAUCUGAGAGUUGAGUAACCUAGAACUAUCUAUGCAGAUUUUAUGAAACCCACACUUGUGUAACCUGGGGCUGACCCCGGCGUUUCACGUGAAUAAAG